CAGGAACGCUGGCGGCAGGCUUAACACAUGCAAGUCGAGCGCCCCGCAAGGGGAGCGGCAGACGGGUGAGUAACGCGUGGGAAUCUACCCAUCUCUUCGGAAUAACACAUGGAAACGUGUGCUAAUACCGUAUACGUCCUUCGGGAGAAAGAUUUAUCGGAGAUGGAUGAGCCCGCGUUGGAUUAGCUAGUUGGUGGGGUAAAGGCCUACCAAGGCGACGAUCCAUAGCUGGUCUGAGAGGAUGAUCAGCCACACUGGGACUGAGACACGGCCCAGACUCCUACGGGAGGCAGCAGUGGGGAAUAUUGGACAAUGGGCGCAAGCCUGAUCCAGCCAUGCCGCGUGAGUGAUGAAGGCCCUAGGGUUGUAAAGCUCUUUCACCGGUGAAGAUAAUGACGGUAACCGAAGAAGAAGCCCCGGCUAACUUCGUGCCAGCCGCCGCCGUAACAC
rnacentral:rRNA from 1 species